ACGGUCGGCUCAUUCAGGCCCUGAUUCUCCUCCCACUACUGCGUUCUUCAGACACGCAAAUGAAAGCUUAGAAGACAUAGGCCUUUUCACCAAAGUUCGAAAGGAGAGAAAUGAGAUGAUAGUAGGAUGGCGUCUGCAGACGUCAUCCGCGAAGCUGCUCUAUAUUUAGAGUACUUUCUGCAAGGGAUGUCAGAAUGUAAUGUAAUUGGCAGUUACACUGUGCAGUUCCUGGAAAUGAAAGGGUUCACUGAACGAAUCCAGACAUCUUUAGCUACUAAUCUAGUUCAGCUUAUAACAAACAUGAGGAAUCUGGUAGUGAAACUAGAUGAAUCACUUCUACCAGUCUGUGAUGCAGAGGUCCAAACAGAAAUUGUUUCUCAGUGUUCAAUUUGUAAUUGUCCUGGUCUGUUGUCUGACCACCUUAAGACAGUUCCUUUACUAGGGAAAGAUAAAAAUGUUGAUUCUCAAGAGAAGUCAUGUGCAGCAGCAGAACUUUCACAUUUUCUGAGUCCAACACCUCUGCUUCAUUUAAAGCAAGAAAUUCCUUGUGUCUCAGAUUCUGUAAGUGCAGGAUCAUCACAUUGUGAUCAGGUUGACAUGGAUGUGAAUGUUUCUCUCAAAGAUAUAGAUUCUAAAGAUAUUGCAAAGAUGCAAGAUCCAAGUAUAGGGACUGAUUCUCAAUUAGACAAAUGUGUCCUGGCAACUCCACUACAGACAGCUUUAGAUGAAAAUAUGGACCUUGACUAUGCAAACUCUACGCAACUUGAAGAAGGCCAAGGCGAGAUUCUCUUGGAUCAUUUGGAAGGUUCAGAUGCCACACAUUCAGAUGGUCUGAUGUACUCUGUGUAUACCAUGAAUUCCUGUGGAGCACUCCAGUUAGUCAGUCGAGUUCUAAGCAAAAAUGCCUCUUCAAAAGAUUCUGUAGAAGAACCUGUUGAGCGAGCCAUGAUUGAAAUCAAUAACACAAAAGAGGAAGACCACAGAGCCCCUGACCACCUGGAGUCCCUCACGCUGCAGGAGCAGGAGCAAGACAGCCAGGUCCGCAUUGCAAAUGCUAGUCAAGAGGAAAUGGUAGUGGCUCCUGACAUCCCAAGUUUUGAAGGGAGGCCUUUGUUGAAAUCUUCAGUGAAGUGUUUGAAUACCCCCAAAAUUCUUCAGGCAAAGACUCCAGCACAUGGCAGUGCUGGAGGUACAAUACUCACAGAUAUUGUAAAGCUUGGACCAGAGGAUCUCAAUACAAGCACAUGGUGUGGGAUCUGUGAGAAGGAAUUCCCAUCUGCAGGAAGCCUAAAAGUUCACCUCUCACGUAUACACAGCCAGGUCAAGUGGUGUCAUACUUGCACAAAGACAAUCAGUUCUGAAGAGGAGAUGUGUGACCAUGUCCGUGAAUGCCAUGCAGAUUUACAGUUUAUUUGUGGUAUCUGUGGCCAGAGUUUAAGAACAAAUGCAGCAUUUCAGAGACAUAUGGACAUUCACAAAGGCUUACGUGGAAGUGCUUGUGAGAUUUGUGGUCAAACAUUUUCAAGAACAGAAUAUUGUAGAGAACACAAGAGAAUUCAUACAGGAGAAAAACCUUACAAAUGUGAAACUUGCAAGAAAAGUUUUAGUAGAUCCAGCAACUUGUAUACUCACAUGAGAACACACAACACAGAAGCCCAGCGUCAUAUAUGUAAUGUAUGCUUUAAGUCAUUUGCUCGUGCAGAUAAACUAAAAGAUCACAUGAUCAGGCACUUACAGAUCAAGAGAUAUGCCUGUCGUUUAUGUCCCAAAGCUUAUAAUGAAAAACGGGAUCUGACAAAACACUUGGAAAGAGUACAUUCAAGUAAUGACAAUAUAGAUACAUGAUAGAGAAACUAAUAGGUUUGAUAUGAUGAAUUAUUUUCUUUGUAAUAGAUUUCCAUUAAGGAAAGUUCCAUAUUCUACCAGGAUAUUUCUGGUGUAAUUUUGGUAUAGGUAAUAUAUAAAUCUCAGGUAAAUUGAUUAAUUCUAAUGGUGUUGCUGGGUAGUGAUAGUGAAAGAAAUGUUGUUUUUUUUUAAUAUAGAGAAGAGUAGGAAGAAAAGAGGAAGAACAAAGUAGAGAGGAUGGAAAAUGGAAACAGAAGAGAGGAAGAGAAAAGAGUAGACAAUGAAACAGACAGACAGACAAAUUUACUUACCCUACCAUACACACACAAACAAACACAGACUGGCUAGAUAGCUAGCUUGUGCAAGUUAGUGCAUGGAGGUGAGAAUGAGACUUGGACUGAAUUGUAGUUAGGAAGGAAAAUAAUGAGUACACAUGAUAAUAAGUUGCCUUGCAUAAAAACGCUUUAAGAAUAAGUUGGAAUGAAAUGAAAGCUCAUUUCCAAUAGAUGCCAAAGAUGAUUUCAGAAAGCUGAUUACCUGAAAUUUAAACAACUAUGACAGGACUGGAUAUGCUUCACAGUUAGGUUUAGUUUGCUAUUUUUAAACAGCAAUUCAAGUUUACUUACAUUGGUUCCUUUUACAUAUAAUAAGGUACUUUUCAUGAUGCAGACUCUGAAUAUUAUUUUGUGACAGCUGUUUUUUGCCAAAAUGUCAAAGUACAAAUGUGGUAAGAAUGUGUAAGCAAAGGAAAGUGAGCUAUUUUCUGGAUAUUUGUGCAGUAGAUAAAAGUAAUUAUCAUCCAAGAGUAAGGUAUCUAAAGUAAUUCAAUCUUGGUCACUUUAUUAGUCAUCAUUAUGUACAAAAAAAAAAGAAUAUUGUAAUGGCAAAAUAAUUCAUUUUGUAUAAUUUGAAUGGAGUUCACUUCAAAGUAAAGGUAUGAUAUGGGGGAUAUUAAUUAUGCAAAUGCUGUGUCCUAGAUAUGGAAAAGCAGACAUAAUAUAUGGUGUCCGUGACAGUAGGCAUGAAUUUACAUGUAUCCUACUUGUGUAUGACACAGAAAUACAGAUAGUUGUUGGAAUAUUUAUUCAUAAUGCAUCUAUUAAUAAUCCUGAAAAUUUCCAUAGAUUCAACAAAUUUCUCACCUUUACCUUUUUUAAACAGGUAAGUUUUCGUGGAAAAAAAACUACAGUAGUUUAGGUCUAAUGCUUCCCAUUUUUCCAUUAUUCUGGUUACUUCCAUAAAUCUGUCACUCUCACACACACACACACACACACACACACACACACACACACACACACACACACACACACACACACACACACACACACACA